AACGAACGCUGGCGGCAGGCUUAACACAUGCAAGUCGAGCGCCUCGCAAGAGGUGCGGCAGACGGGUGAGUAACGCGUGGGCACCUACCUAUUGGUACGGAACAACUCAGGGAAACUUGAGCUAAUACCGUAUUUGUCAUUCGUGAGCAAGGUUUGUCGCCAAUAGAUGGGCCCGGGUCGGGUUAGCUAGUGGGUGGGGUACUGGCCUACCAAGGCGACGAUCCGUAGCUGGUCUGAGAGGAUGAACAGCCACACUGGGACUGAGACACGGCCCAGACUCCUACGGGAGGCAGCAGUGGGGAAUAUUGGACAAUGGGCGCAAGCCUGAACCAGCCAUGCCGCGUGAGUGAUGAAGGCCUUAGGGUUGUAAAGCUCUUUCAGCUGGGAAGAUAGUGACGGUACCAGCAGAAGAAGCCCCGGCUAACUUCGUGCCAGCCGCCGCCGUAAUAC
rnacentral:rRNA from 1 species